UACAGGGGGGGCAAGCGUUGUUCGGAAUUACUGGGCGUAAAGGGCUUGUAGGUGGCCAACUAAGUCACACGUGAAAUCCCCAGGCUUAACCUGGGAACUGCGUGUGAUACUGGAUGGCUUGAAUCCGGGAGAGGGAUGCCGAAUUCCAGGUGUAGCGGUGAAAUGCGUAGAUAUCUGGAGGAACACCGGUGGCGAAGGCGGCAUCCUGGACCGGUAUUGACACUGAAAAGCGAAAGCCAGGGGAGCAAACGGG
rnacentral:rRNA from 1 species